CUGGGCUUGAACCGCUACUGACCAAGGGUAGAAAUAUCCUCUUCCCGCAAGGGACAGUAGUAGAGGUGCUGCAUGGCUGUCGUCAGCUCGUGCCGUGAGGUGUUGGGUUAAGUCCCGCAACGAGCGCAACCCUUAUUCGUAGUUGCCACCCGCAAGGGGGAACUCUACGAGGACUGCUCCGGAUAACGGAGAGGAAGGUGGGGAUGACGUCAAGUCAGCACGGCCUUUAUGUCCAGGGCUACACACGUGUUACAAUGCACGGUACAGACUGUUGCGAACCCGCGAGGGGGAGCUAAUCGGCCAAAACCGUGCUCAGUUCGGAUUGCAGUCUGCAACUCGACUGCAUGAAGCUGGAAUCGCUAGUAAUGGCGUAUCAGAUCGACGCCGUGAAUACGUCCCCGGGCCUUGUACACACCGCCCGUCACAUCACGAAAGUGAGUUGUACUAGAAGUCGCGCAGCUAACCGUAAGGAAGCACGCGCCCAAGGUAUGACCCAUGAUUGGGGUG
rnacentral:rRNA from 1 species